GUCCUUUUGAAUAUAAUUUAAGGUCUGACCUGCCCACUGAAUAAUUAAAUGGCCGCGGUAAUUUGACCGUGCUAAGGUAGCAUAAUCAUUAGUUUUUUGAUUGAAAGCUGGAAUGAAGGGUUGGAUGAGAAAAUAUCUGUUUCUAUUUAAUUUUAAUUGAAUUUUAUUUUUAAGUUAAAAAGCUUAAAUUUUAUUAAAAGACGAGAAGACCCUUUAGAGUUUUAUAUAAAAUUUAAUUUAAUAUAUUAGUAAUAUAAGUAUGAAUUAAUUUUUAUAAUUAAUUGGGGUGAUUGAAAAAUUUAAUUAACUUUUUUUAUAUUUUAAACAUUGAUUUAUGAUUUUUUGAUCCAUAUAUUUUGAUUAUAAGAUUAAAUUACCUAAGGGAUAACAGCGUAAUUUUUUUUGAGAGUUCUAAUCGAUAAAAAAGAUUGCGACCUCGAUGUUGGAUUAAAAUUUAUUUUUGGUGUAGGAGCUAAAAAAUUAGGUCUGUUCGACCUUUAAAAUUU
rnacentral:rRNA from 1 species